UGGUUCCAAGCCAGAGCUUGACUCUUUUGUGGACUGACUACUUUUAAUUUCUACGCAGCUCUUAUGUUUACUCUCACGGAACCACGAGGCAUUGCUGGCUGCAGUUGUUUUUGUCUAGUCGAGCUCUUAUGUUUACUCUCAUGGAACCACGAGGCGUGCUGGCUGCAGUUGUUUUUGUCUAGGUAAGCCGCGUGGUUCCAAGCCAGAGCUUGACUGUUUUGUGGACUGACUACUUUUAAUUUCUAUGCAGCUCUUCCGUUUACUCUCAGGGAACCACGGAGCGUGCUGGCUGCUGUUGUUUUUGUCUAGUCGAGAGCAAACCUUCAUGUGAGGCCUGCAGCAGGGCAAACAUCUGUGGGCAGGCAGUGGUAUCCAAGAGGGAAGGGACCAUUGCUGUGGAUUCUGCAGCUACAUCAUCAUUUUAUAUGGUCACCUUUUCUAUAGUAUUAUUAAAUUAUGUAAGGUCUGCAUGUCCUUUAUUUUAUUAAUCAAUAAAGCCGCUUUGUCAUGAGA